rnacentral:tRNA from 1 species
GCCCGUAACCGCCUGAUCUUGCAUCCACAAUCUGGGAUUGAAAAUCCUCGUGUCGGUGGUUCGAUUCCGCCCCCGGGCACCA